CUGAGGUUAAUUUAAUUCUUUUUUGCUACUUCCUGUGAGGUAACAAUGGAUUGAUGACAAUUUACAUUACAGCCCUCAAAAAGGACUAAGGACUCUGUCACAGUGGCUGGGAUGUCAGUACUCUGAGUUCAGAGACUUUGAGGAAAUGCUACAGAAGUGGGCCAGACAAGGCCUGUCUGAGGAGGAAGCAAAGUAAGGUGGCAUUACAUGAUAACAGCAGGACGAUACCUCCCAGAAGAGAUGACCUGGUGCCUUCCAGGGAGAUGUAGAUGCCCCAUUAAAAAGAAAGAGAAUUUGCUGAACUCACCAUGGGACUGGGAAACCGGAGGCGAGCCAAGUUCCAAGUUUAACAUGAUGGCAUUAUCCUAACAGAAAGGAUUUGAUCUGCAGACAGAACAGUGCAAGAUAAAGACCCGAGGAAGGAAUUAAUAACCUUCCGCAUAUCAUGAGUGCAGAAUCCAGCAUUUGAAAUGAGAUGCAGAAUGAAAUAAACUGGAG
rnacentral:lncRNA from 1 species